rnacentral:rRNA from 1 species
GACGAACCGUCCAAACGUUAUUCGGAAUCACUGGGCUUAAAGGGUGCGUAGGCGGUCCGGUAAGUUGGGUGUGAAAGCCCUCGGCCUAACCGAGGAAUUGCGCCCAAUACUGUCGGACUUGAGCAAGGCAGUGGUGAGCGGAACUUAGGGUGGAGCGGUGAAAUGCGUUGAUAUCCUAAGGAACACCAGGAGCGAAAGCGGCUCACUGGGCCUUUUCUGACGCUGAGGCACGAAAGCUAGGGGAG